rnacentral:rRNA from 1 species
GACGUAGGGCGCGAGCGUUGUUCGGAAUUACUGGGCGUAAAGGGCUCGUAGGCGGCCAACUAAGUCGGAUGUGAAAUCCCCAGGCUCAACUUGGGAACUGCAUCCGAUACUGGAUGGCUUGAAUUCGGGAGAGGGAUGCAGAAUUCCAGGUGUAGCGGUGAAAUGCGUAGAUAUCUGGAGGAAUACCGGUGGCGAAGGCGGCAUCCUGGACCGACAUUGACGCUGAGGAGCGAAAGCUAGGGGAGCAAACGGG